AUUGAACGCUGGCGGCAUGCUUUACACAUGCAAGUCGAGCGGCAGCGCGGGGGCAACCCUGGCGGCGAGCGGCGAACGGGUGAGUAAUGCAUCGGAACGUACCCUGGAGUGGGGGGAUAACGCCGCGAAAGCGGCGCUAAUACCGCAUAUGCUCUGAGGAGGAAAGUGGGGGGACCGCAAGGCCUCACGCUCUGGGAGCGGCCGAUGUCCGAUUAGCUAGUUGGUGGGGUAAAGGCUUACCAAGGCGACGAUCGGUAGCUGGUCUGAGAGGAUGAUCAGCCACACUGGGACUGAGACACGGCCCAGACUCCUACGGGAGGCAGCAGUGGGGAAUUUUGGACAAUGGGGGCAACCCUGAUCCAGCCAUGCCGCGUGAGUGAAGAAGGCCU
rnacentral:rRNA from 1 species